GUAACAUAGUGGGACCCAGUCUCUACAAAAAAUUUUAAAAAUUAGCCAGAAGUGGUGCAUGCCUGUAGUCCCAGCUACUCAGGAGGCCGAGGUGGGAGGAUCACUUGAGCCCAGGAGGUCAAAGCUGCAGUGAGCCAUGAUUGUGCCACUGCACUCCAGCAUCUGGGUGCAGAGUGAGACCCUGUCUCAAAAACAAAAAAAAAAGUUGUUUAUAAUAAUUUAAUGACUUAUUAAAGUAACAUCAGCACUUUCUUACUAUUGUAAUAUGAAAAUAUUUAAUUCUUGGAGUUAAUAUGUAAAAUAAACCGUAGAGGAAAUGUAAUUGGAACCAAAAUUUAUUUAUUCUUUGAAAGUGGCUUAGUACAGCCACCGCACCCGGCCCAUAAAUCUUAUUUGCUUUAUCCUACACAGAUGCCACUAUCACAGAAUAAAAAUACAUACAAAUACCACCCACAAUACAAUUAAUAAAAAUAAUUUAAACUUAGUUUACAGUUACUUUUUUCCUUAGAGAAAUUCCAACUUACUAUGCACAGUAAUUUGAAGUGUGUAAAGUCAGAUGGUGUUUCUUGCUAGAUGGUUAUGCUGCCAACUGGAUACACAAGUUUUACUUGUUUCAUUUUACUUUCUAUUUUUAUUGAUUUCUUUUUUUAACUUAAAUUAUGUUCUAUAAGUAUAUGAAAUAUUAACAUGGAGUAUGGGAAAAAGAAAUCAGUGUUAAGAUAUUCUGACGUUCUUAUAUUUUGUAAGAGAAGGGCAUGUAUGUAAAUAGGUA
rnacentral:lncRNA from 1 species